GCCAGGUUUUGGUAUCAGAAUGAUGCUUUCCUUGUAGAAUGACUCAUGGAGGAGUUCCUCUCCUUCAAUUUUUUGAAACAGUUUUACUAGAUUUGGUUCUUUUUCUUCUUCAUAUGUCUGGUACAAUUUGGCUGUGAAUCCAUUUGGUCCAGGGAUUUUUCUGGUUGAUUCAAGAAAGAUUACCCUGGAACCACCUCUACUUUGCAGAUGAGGAAACUGAGGCCCAAGGAUGUCGUGUGAUUAGCCUGAGAAUGAACUAAUGGAAGAACCAAGAUUCAAAUUCAGGCUCCCUAAAUCUUCCUUACACCAGAUCAUAGGCACCAGGAUUCCUCCAUUACAAUUUUUUAACCACUGUGUGGAUGGCAGAAGGAGUUUCAGCAUAAUUAAAACUUAUUAAUUCACUUACUCAACAGAUACAUAUCGAACACUUACUGUUUGUUAAAUAUAGUUGUAAGUGCUGGGGAUAUGGCCACCAAUGAGACCAAGUCUCUAAUCUCAUGGAGCAUACCUUUUAAUAGAUGCUGAAUCAGAACCCAUUGAUUGGUGUUUUCCAAAAUGAGUGGUAAACUUUACCUUUAAUACACUGUAAAAGUGUUGUUCAUAUAAAAUAAAU
rnacentral:lncRNA from 1 species